rnacentral:rRNA from 1 species
UACGAAGGGGGCUAGCGUUGCUCGGAAUCACUGGGCGUAAAGCGCACGUAGGCGGAUCUUUAAGUCAGGGGUGAAAUCCUGGAGCUCAACUCCAGAACUGCCUUUGAUACUGGGGAUCUUGAGUCCGGAAGAGGUGAGUGGAACUCCGAGUGUAGAGGUGAAAUUCGUAGAUAUUCGGAAGAACACCAGUGGCGAAGGCGGCUCACUGGCCCGAUACUGACGCUGAGGUGCGAAAGCGUGGGGAGCAAACAGG